GGCCUGGUGGUGGACGGAUUCCCGCCUGCUUCACGUGUGCUUUGACAAAUGUAUCUGCGCAAGAGCGCUCGUUCGACUCGAGCCUGGGCCA